AUCAUGUUGGAAAUACCCUUUUCUUAAAAUAGCGUCACAUUUCAGUUAAUUACAUAAAUGCAAUUAACAGCAGACACGGAAAUUCAAAUUCUAAAAAUAAAUGCCAUUUUUAGUUUAGAGUUCUUAUUUUUGGUGUCAAGGGUUUGCAAUUCAGUGGAGACCAAUGAGGUUUCCUUUAUUUAUAGGUCACGUAAAUACCCUCAUCUAUAAUCAGCGGGAAUUUUCAAUUUGAACUUCUUUAUCUUCUGAACGCGCUUUGCACUAUUAUUCAACAUGAACUUCAGUGCAGCCUGGUGAGACUUUGAAUCGCAGGUAAGCAAUACAAACAACACGCUAUUAAUUAAUGUUUCACCUUCAUCAGAACUGGGCAAAUUUUAAAAUUUUAUCGUCUGAAACAUUUAAAACCGAAACAGUUUAAUAGCUAAAUAAUCAAAAAUUAUUCAAAAAAGUAAGCCGUGCUUUUAUAACAUGUAUAAUCGAAUCUUUGUAUUAUCUCAAAUCAGCCCUUAUUACUCGGUGAGAACUUUUUAAAUAAUCCCCAGGGUUUAAUGGGAUUAAGGAGGCCA
rnacentral:lncRNA from 1 species